AGGCCUUGGUUGCCUUCCCUCCGCCUCCCCCCUGCCUGCCCCUCCUCUCUUCCCCCAAAUCCAUCCCUGAGGGAAGACUGCACUUGGAGCCCAGGGAAGGCCGCCUCUGGGAGGGAACUGAGGGAGAAGGUUAAUUAGAUGUUUGCAUCCAAUUUACGUCUUGUUUGUGAACGCUCCAUCUCAGCUGCAGCCCGGGCCGGCGCCCCUCGCCCUCCAUCGCACAGCUCCGAGUUACCCGCGGCUCCAAGCGUCGGUCCCCAGGUCAAAAACGCGCCAUUAUCGUUUUAUCGCCGACUCUCCCUCUGCAAUUACGGAACAGAGAGCUGCCUCCCGGCCUGAGGUUGUUAGGCCCCCUUCUCUACCUCCCUGGACACCACAUCGGCAGAGGAUUCCAGGGGCCGAAUUCAGGUCCUCAGAAUCGGUGGCCAGCACCUUGACUGCCUGAGCCCAUCCCUCAGGCUAACAGGAAGGGCAUUUUAACCCAGGAAACAGCAGGUGCAAAACACCCAGAGGCGGGACCACGUUGGCAGAAUAUGAGAAACAGCGAGAAGAAUGAGGGCCCAGCCCACCAUGGGGAUGCCACCCUCAGGCAGAUGGAUCUGGCCUUUGUAAGGAAGGUGGUUGAGAAUGAGCCUGGAAAUGAGAUGGUGUCAACAAGAUGAUGCUCUUAGGAUUGGAGCGAUGGCUCAGUGGUUAAGAGCCCUGGCUGCUCUUCCAGAGGAAGUUCUCAGCACCCACAUGACAGCUCACAGCUGUCUGUAACUCCAGUUCCAGGGGAUCCAACCACCUCUUUUGACAUCUCUGUACACCAGGCAUACAUAUGGUGCACAGACAUAUAUGCAGGAAAAAUACCCAUACACAUAAAAAUUUUCAAAUGAAAAAAAUGACAA